rnacentral:pre_miRNA from 1 species
AAUAACUUUAUUUUUCGUUUUUCUACGUUUAACGUUCGAUCAUUCAUUUUAUUUAAAAAAAAAUUUUAUGAUUAAUAUUUUUAUUGUUAGUAGAUAAUAAAAUAUGGAUAGUACUUUAUACGUAACUAAUUUUUUUAAGUUUUUGUAUAAAUUUUUUAAAUAAGACGAAUGGUCACACGUUGGACACAGAAAA